AGCUCUGCAGUGUGCUAGAACACGUCGAAUUGCAAAUUCGGAGAAGCAGCAUAACCCCUGCCAGGGCUU
rnacentral:tRNA from 1 species